rnacentral:rRNA from 1 species
CGGACGGGUGAGUAAUGUAUAGUUAAUCUGCCCUUUAGAGGGGGAUAACAGUUGGAAACGACUGCUAAUACCCCAUACUCCUUUUACAUUAAUUGUAAUUGGGAAAUGUUCUUUCGCUAAAGGAUGAGACUAUAUGGUAUCAGGUAGUUGGUGGGGUAAGAGCCUACCAAGCCAAUGACGCCUAGCUGGUCUGAGAGGAUGAUCAGCCACACUGGAUCUGAGACACGGUCCAG